rnacentral:misc_RNA from 1 species
AACGCACCUUGCGCCUCUUGGUAUUCCGAGAGGCAUGCCUGUUUGAGUGUCAUUAAAUUCUCAACCUCAAAAGCUUUUUUGUUUCUGAGGCUUGGAUGUGGAGGCUUUGCAGGCUCUUUCAGAGUCAGCUCCUCUUAAAUGUAUUAGUGGAAACUGUUUGUAGUCCGCAUUGGUGUGAUAAUUAUCAGCGCUAUUGUGGUUACAAGCUCAUGAAGUGUUCGCGUGGAGAGUGCACCUAGUGCUCUUUCUGUUUAACUUGACCUACAUGAGUAUAGUAUCUGCUUCAAAAUUGGACGAUAUUUGACUAUUUUGGCCUCAAAUCAGGUAGGACUACCCGCUGAACUUAA